UACAGAGGUGGCAAGCGUUGUUCGGAAUUACUGGGCGUAAAGGGCGCGUAGGCGGCCUUCUAAGUCAGACGUGAAAUCCCCCGGCUUAACCUGGGAACUGCGUCUGAUACUGGAUGGCUUGAAUUCGGGAGAGGGAUGCAGAAUUCCAGGUGUAGCGGUGAAAUGCGUAGAUAUCUGGAGGAAUACCGGUGGCGAAGGCGGCAUCCUGGACCGGCAUUGACGCUGAGGCGCGAAAGCCAGGGGAGCAAACGGG
rnacentral:rRNA from 1 species